rnacentral:rRNA from 1 species
UACGAAGGGGGCUAGCGUUGUCCGGAAUUAUUGGGCGUAAAGAGCUUGUAGGCGGUUUGUCGCGUCUGCUGUGAAAAUCCGGGGCUCAACCCCGGACUUGCAGUGGGUACGGGCAGACUAGAGUGUGGUAGGGGAGACUGGAAUUCCUGGUGUAGCGGUGAAAUGCGCAGAUAUCAGGAAGAACACCAAUGGCGAAAGCAGCUCUCUGGGACGGUACUGACGCUGAGACGCGAAAGCGUGGGGAGCGAACAGG